UACGUAGGGACCGAGCGUUGUCCGGAAUCAUUGGGCGUAAAGAGCGCGUAGGCGGCUAGAUAAGUCCGGUGUGAAAGUCACAGGCUCAACCUGUGAAUGCCGCUGGAAACUGUCUGGCUAGAGUCCGGAAGGGGCGAGUGGAAUUCCUGGUGUAGCGGUGAAAUGCGCAGAUAUCAGGAGGAACACCAAUGGCGAAGGCAGCUCGCUGGGACGGUACUGACGCUGAGGCGCGAAAGCUAGGGGAGCAAACAGG
rnacentral:rRNA from 1 species